rnacentral:lncRNA from 1 species
CGCCACCCCUGUGGCUGCUACAGGAGCACAGUAGUGAAGGCCUGAGCUCCAGGUUUGAAAGACCCAACUGGAGCGUGGGGCGGGCAGGCAGGGGUUAGUGAAAGGACACUUCCAGGGUUAGGACAGAGCAUUUAGCCUUCUGGAAGAACCCCUGCCUGGGGUGGGACUGUGCAGGCCAGAGAAGGUGGCAUGGGCCUGAACCCACCUGGACUGACUUCUGCACUGAAGCCACAGAUGGAGGGUAGGCUGGUGGGUGGGGGUGGUUCGUUCUCUAGCCGGGGCAGACACCCAGCUGGCUGGGUCCUUCCUCAGCCUUGCCUCCUCCUGUCCCCAACCCUUUCCUUUCCUCCUGCUUGCGGACUGCUGGUCCCCUCUCCUUCCCUCCUUCCAGCUGUUUCUAGUUACCACCUACCCCUGGCCGUGGACUGAUCAGACCAGCAUUCAAAAUAAAAGUUUGUUCCAAGUUGACAGUGUGGUGCUCCCUGCCCAGCCCCUCCAGGUGGAGGUGCUGCCACGGGAACGCAGUUGCUCUGCCUGCCCUGGGGCCCCUGGCGACAGCUGGGAGCAGGGCAGUGCUGUGAGGAGCCCAGCUUUCCCAGUCAGGCAGGCAUGGCUUCCGUGUUCAGGCUCCCUCACCAGCUGGUGACACGGGACAAGCUUACAAACCUUCUCUGAACCUCAGUUUUCUCAUUUACAAGAGGCAAAGCCAUCCAUCACCUUGUGUGGAUUCAGAGAAUGUGAGGCCCUGGGGUGU